UACGGAGGGUGCAAGCGUUGUUCGGAAUUACUGGGCGUAAAGCGCGUGUAGGCGGCUUGGUAAGUCGGAUGUGAAAGCCCUCGGCUCAACCGGGGAAGUGCAUCCGAUACUGCUGGGCUUGAGUACCGGAGAGGAAAGGGGAAUUCCCGGUGUAGAGGUGAAAUUCGUAGAUAUCGGGAGGAACACCGGCGGCGAAGGCGCCUUUCUGGCCGGAUACUGACGCUGAGACGCGAAAGCGUGGGGAGCAAACAGG
rnacentral:misc_RNA from 1 species